rnacentral:rRNA from 1 species
AGUGAACGCUGGCGAUAGGCCUAACACAUGCAAGUCGAACGGCAGCACAGUAAGAGCUUGCUCUUACGGGUGGCGAGUGGCGGACGGGUGAGGAAUACAUCGGAAUCUACUUUUUCGUGGGGGAUAACGUAGGGAAACUUACGCUAAUACCGCAUACGACCUACGGGUGAAAGCAGGGGAUCUUCGGACCUUGCGCGAUUGAAUGAGCCGAUGUCGGAUUAGCUAGUUGGCGGGGUAAAGGCCCACCAAGGCGACGAUCCGUAGCUGGUCUGAGAGGAUGAUCAGCCACACUGGAACUGAGACACGGUCCAGACUCCUACGGGAGGCAGCAGUGGGGAAUAUUGGACAAUGGGCGAAAGCCUGAUCCAGCCAUACCGCGUGGGUGAAGAAGGCCUUCGGGUUGUAAAGCCCUUUUGUUGGGAAAGAAAAGCAGCAGGUUAAUACCCCGCUGUUCUGACGGUACCCAAAGAAUAAGCACCGGCUAACUUCGUG